rfam:Erinaceus europaeus unplaced genomic scaffold scaffold00749, whole genome shotgun sequence
GUAUGUGAGGGUGUUCUGGCUGUGACAUGUCACCCCACUGAUAGCCAGGGUUGAUUUGGGUGAUCUGGCUGGUUAGGUGGGUGUCCCCUUCCUCCCUCGCCACUCCAUGAGCAUCCCUCCCGAACCUGCACACUUUGUUGAAGAGAACAGUCUUCCCUUACUAGAGAUGGACCAGUCUUUGGCUCAGGGUAUACAAGUAGCUGCACUCCCCCGCUAGAACCUCCAAACACGCUGUCAAGAAAUGAGGUAGCUAAAUGACCAGAUAGAUAAACUAGAUCUAAUGGACAUUUUCAGAAUCACU